ensembl:lncRNA
AACACAUUUAAACUUACUGUGUUUUUCAAUGCUGAUUUGAAUGUCCUUGAUGGAAUUCACAUUUUUCUGCUUCAACAAAGAGCUGGUUCUCCAGGAGACCUUGGAGGACUUGUCGGACGUGGAGAAAAUGUUCUUGAGCUGUGCGGGAAAAGACGAGGAUGUCGUUGAGGUAGAUGAACAUGUUAACAUGUCGUGGACAACGGCGUUAACCAGAGCCUGGAACACAGCAGGAGCGUUGGUCAGACUGAAUGGCAUCACCAGGUAUUUGUAGUGUCCGCUAUGUUGAAGGCUGUCUUCCACUCGCCACAUUCCCAUAUCUGCACCAGAUGGUAGGUGUUCCACAGGUCUAACUUAGAGAAAAUGGUGGCACCCUGGAGCAGCUCAAAAGCCGAGGCGAUGAGUGGUAGCGGUUCUUAACCGUGAUGUCGUUAAUGCCCCGGUAGUCGAUGCACGGGCACAGUUUUGUCCCUCUUCUCCACAAAGAAGAACCCGGUGGAUACACCCUGCAGCCAAGGAGUCCUCGAUGUACGUUUUCAUAACCUUGGUCUCUGGACCUGACAGAGAAUACAGCCAUACUCGGGGUGGUGUAGUGCCCUGGAGAAGAUUGAUCAUGCAGUUGUAGGGAAGCAAAGGGGCCCGGGCCUUGCUGAAAACAUCCCGAAGGUCCUGGUACUCCGUGGGAAUGGCUGAGAUGUCCGAGGCUUCAUCCGAGCCCGCAGGAAGAUGUCUCAGGGCAGGCUGCGCCGACUUCAGGCAAUGAGCGUGGCAGAACAGGCUCCAGCCCAUGAUAGCAUCAGCAGACUGACUACAGAGUGCCCAACUAGCGCACUGACAUCCAUGGUAAUGUAAAGGGGCUGAGUGGGGAUACCCAGCUCUGACACCAGGGUAGUGUCCAUGAAACUCUCAUCGGCCCCAGAGUCAAUGAGUACCUGGAGAGAUUUCGACUGGUCGCCCUACAGCAGGAUGGCAUGGAGAGGGGUACGAGUAAGAGGAGAAGGAAAAUUCUCUGUACGGCCACCAGAGUACUACUGAUGAGCCUGUUUUUUAAUGGGCAGGUAGAAACGUAAUGACCGGUAGUCCGGCAAUACAGACAACUCUUGGUGUUAAGUCUGCAUAAUGGUCGGCUGGAGACAACCUAGCUCUGCCGAGUUGCAUCGGCUCUGGAAGAGGCUAGUCAGCAGACCUCAGAGACUCUCGGCGGAACGCAGGUAACCUCGGAUUCUCUUGGGAAUGUAGACGUUGGGGACUUCCUGGAUUCCUCUCUUCCAGACAAUGGAGAAUCUGAACAUUUUUUCACCUCAGCCACAAACUCCUCCAGACUGAAGCUUGAAGAUGAGGGGGAACUGGGAGAGAAACACCCGACUGGUUCCUGACUCUCCAGCGAAGCAUUACGGAGGGGUCCGUGUUGUUCCAUAAGGUGUCCAGACGGAUUACCAGGACAUGUACUCAAAGCAUACGCGGACCAACUGG